GUUAAGCGACUAAGCGUACACGGUGGAUGCCCUGGCAGUCAGAGGCGAUGAAGGACGUGCUAAUCUGCGAUAAGCGUCGGUAAGGUGAUAUGAACCGUUAUAACCGGCGAUUUCCGAAUGGGGAAACCCAGUGUGAUUCGUCACACUAUCAUUAACUGAAUCCAUAGGUUAAUGAGGCGAACCGGGGGAACUGAAACAUCUAAGUACCCCGAGGAAAAGAAAUCAACCGAGAUUCCCCCAGUAGCGGCGAGCGAACGGGGAGCAGCCCAGAGCCUGAAUCAGUGUGUGUGUUAGUGGAAGCGUCUGGAAAGGCGCGCGAUACAGGGUGACAGCCCCGUACACAAAAAUGCACAUGCUGUGAGCUCGAUGAGUAGGGCGGGACACGUGGUAUCCUGUCUGAAUAUGGGGGGACCAUCCUCCAAGGCUAAAUACUCCUGACUGACCGAUAGUGAACCAGUACCGUGAGGGAAAGGCGAAAAGAACCCCGGCGAGGGGAGUGAAAAAGAACCUGAAACCGUGUACGUACAAGCAGUGGGAGCACGCUUAGGCGUGUGACUGCGUACCUUUUGUAUAAUGGGUCAGCGACUUAUAUUCUGUAGCAAGGUUAACCGAAUAGGGGAGCCGAAGGGAAACCGAGUCUUAACUGGGCGUUAAGUUGCAGGGUAUAGACCCGAAACCCGGUGAUCUAGCCAUGGGCAGGUUGAAGGUUGGGUAACACUAACUGGAGGACCGAACCGACUAAUGUUGAAAAAUUAGCGGAUGACUUGUGGCUGGGGGUGAAAGGCCAAUCAAACCGGGAGAUAGCUGGUUCUCCCCGAAAGCUAUUUAGGUAGCGCCUCGUGAAUUCAUCUCCGGGGGUAGAGCACUGUUUCGGCAAGGGGGUCAUCCCGACUUACCAACCCGAUGCAAACUGCGAAUACCGGAGAAUGUUAUCACGGGAGACACACGGCGGGUGCUAACGUCCGUCGUGAAGAGGGAAACAACCCAGACCGCCAGCUAAGGUCCCAAAGUCAUGGUUAAGUGGGAAACGAUGUGGGAAGGCCCAGACAGCCAGGAUGUUGGCUUAGAAGCAGCCAUCAUUUAAAGAAAGCGUAAUAGCUCACUGGUCGAGUCGGCCUGCGCGGAAGAUGUAACGGGGCUAAACCAUGCACCGAAGCUGCGGCAGCGACGCUUAUGCGUUGUUGGGUAGGGGAGCGU
rnacentral:rRNA from 1 species